UCUCAUGGGGAUGAGGGGUGGCAUUAAUUACCAUCCAACUCUUUCCUAAAGACAAUUAGGGUAUUCUUUUAAAGAUCCCAUAAGGACAGAGAUGUGCAAGAAUCCCUACUUUGUGAUGUGCCUGAUAGUACUGGAUGGAUGGAAAGAGUUGCCAAAGCAUGGGGAAGUAUUCAUCAGAAAGGAGGAACAUAUUUUAGGAAGAAAGAUUUUG
rnacentral:lncRNA from 1 species